rnacentral:lncRNA from 1 species
UAAUGACAGCAUGGUUAUGACCAGGUUUUCUGUUCUCAGUUGCACUGACAAUGCUUUUCUCCUCUGGCCCUGGCAGGGCAAGCCUUGCACUGCAUUAGUAUGGUUUAUGAGUAAGUCAAUUUCUUUUGUGAAAUGAGUUGUGAUUUCUCUAUAUGAUGACUUGUAUUCUCUAUUAUCUUAUUGUCUUACAGCUAUUCUAUGUUUUCUUAUUGGCAGAACAUGCAUAAUAAAAACAAAUAGUUUGACACUGCCCUAUUGAUGGAAAUGCUGCUUGUGUAAAAAUAAAAUCUCUUGUUGUUGUCAAAUUCUUGUCUCUGUGUGGUGACUUAAUAGCUUGAUUUAUUUGUAGAUGCAGUUGGUUGUUUGGCUUUCUAAGGCUCCAUGUUUCGUAAGAACUUUAGGAUGGGUAUGAAACUGUUCUAGAUGGUUGCGGACUCGGCAUAUAUUGAUCUUAUUGCACAGGAGAUGCAUUUGACAAGUUAAAAUUUGAAAUAUAUGUAAGCAAACCUUGCAAAUGCACUGGCAAAAUGUCUGCAUUCUCCCCUCAUUGGGCAUGCAUUACAGUUUGGUUUGCUUUUUGUACAGAAAACCUGCAUAUAUCACAGGGAAAUUUUCCUGUCAGUGUCAGCUUGUUUGUUGGUCGGCAAUGG